CAAAUCCUACGGGGCGCAGCAGUGGGGAAUAUUGCACAAUGGUGGGAACCCUGAUGCAGCGACGCCGCGUGAAGGAAGAAGUAUUUCGGUAUGUAAACUUCUAUCAGCAGGGAAGAAAAUGACGGUACCUGACUAAGAAGCCCCGGCUAACUACGUGCCAGCAGCCGCGGUAAUACGUAGGGGGCAAGCGUUAUCCGGAUUUACUGGGUGUAAAGGGAGCGUAGACGGCUGUGCAAGCCAGAUGUGAAAGCCCGGGGCUCAACCCCGGGACUGCAUUUGGUACUGUGUGGCUGGAUUGUCGGAGA
rnacentral:rRNA from 1 species